rnacentral:rRNA from 1 species
GACGAACGCUGGCGGCGUGCUUAACACAUGCAAGUCGAACGGUGAUGCUCCAGCUUGCUGGAGUGGAUCAGUGGCGAAAGGGUGAGUAACACGUGAGCAACCUGCCCCAGACUCUGGAAUAAGCCCUGGAAACGGGGUUUAAAACUGGAUACGACACUUGUCCGCAUGGGCAUUGUUUGGAAAGUUUUUCGGUUUGGGAUGGGCUCGCGGCCUAUCAGCUUGUUGGUGAGGUAAUGGCUCACCAAGGCGACGACGGGUAGCCGGCCUGAGAGGGCGACCGGCCACACUGGGACUGAGACACGGCCCAGACUCCUACGGGAGGCAGCAGUGGGGAAUAUUGCACAAUGGGCGAAAGCCUGAUGCAGCGACGCCGCGUGAGGGAUGACGGCCUUCGGGUUGUAAACCUCUUUCAGCAGGGAAGAAGCGAAAGUGACGGUACCUGCAGAAGAAGCACCGGCUAACUACGUG